rnacentral:lncRNA from 1 species
GUUUUCAAACUACACUCAUUUUUCGUGUCAUUUUGAUAUUACUUCAUAAGGCAUUACCUGAAAAGCAUUCAGUAACUAUUUAUAAAUUUUGAGACCUUGUCUUUAGACAUUAUCAUAUCAUCAUAAUAAGUCUUUGUAUUUUAACAGAUAUUUCUUCCUUUUUUUCGUGACAGCUGAAAAUAGCAUGUAUCAUGAAUUUUAAUAACCAUAUUGCUGUUUUUC